GACGAACGCUGGCGGCGUGCUUAACACAUGCAAGUCGAACGGAGUGGCGAACGGGUGAGUAAAACGUGGGUGAUCUGCCUUGCACUUCGGGAUAAGCUUGGGACACUGGGUCUAAUACCGGAUAGUGCAAGAUGAGCUCGCGGCCAAGCAGCUUGUUGGGGGGGUAAUGGCCUACCAAGGCGUCGACGGGUAGCCGGCCUGCGAGGGUGUACGGCCACAUGGUGCCUUAGAUACUGCCCAGACUCCUACGGGAGGCAGCAGUGGGGAAUAUUGCACAAUGGGCGGAAGCCUGAUGCAGCGACGCCGCGUGGGGGAUGAAGGCCUUCGGGUUGUAAACUCCUUUCGACAGGGACUCGUUACCUGUAUAAGAAGCACCGGCUAACUACGUGCCAGCCGCCGCGGUAAUUC
rnacentral:rRNA from 1 species